rnacentral:rRNA from 1 species
GGAAUAUUGCACAAUGGGCGAAAGCCUGAUGCAGCAACGCCGCGUGGGGGAUGACGGCCUUCGGGUUGUAAACCUCUUUUAGUAGGGAAGAAGGACUUCGGUUUGACGGUACCUGCAGAAAAAGCACCGGCUAACUACGUGCCAGCAGCCGCGGUAAUACGUAGGGUGCAAGCGUUGUCCGGAAUUAUUGGGCGUAAAGAGCUCGUAGGCGGUUUGUCGCGUCUGCUGUGAAAACCCGAGGCUCAACCUCGGGCCUGCAGUGGGUACGGGCAGACUAGAGUGCGGUAGGGGAGAAUGGAAUUCCUGGUGUAGCGGUGGAAUGCGCAGAUAUCAGGAGGAACACCGAUGGCGAAGGCAGUUCUCUGGGCCGUUACUGACGCUGAGGAGCGAAAGCGUGGGGAGCGAACAGGAUUAGAUACCCCAG